AAAGUGAAAUUGGUGGGUAAAAGCUAUGGAGAAGGAAAGUGAAGGGAUUGAUUGGUGUUUUCCUGUUAGAGACGCUGCUAAGGGUAUAUUUUAUUAGUUCAGUAUUAAUGAAGGUGUGGCAAUUGUUUCUGGGAAGAAAAGGACAGUCUCUUUUGGUAAUUUCAGAUACUCAGAAUCUAGAUGGGAAGAACCAACCAGAAGUACAAUGGCAUACUAGUCAUAUGGAUUUGAUGCUGAUCAAUCUGACAGAGGAAACGUGCUUAAAGGGUUAGAUCUUGGUAUUGAAGGCAUGCGAGUGGCUGACCAGGUUAGAAUGAAGUUUAUUGGUCCAUUUCGUUAAUUCCCAUAUAGAGAAAAUAACAUUGUUGUAUAAGUAUACCAUUUUACCAAAAAAAUAAAUCAAUUCAAGCUAAGAGUUUGGUUGCUUUGGUUCUGAAGCAUAUAUUACUUUUCAUAGAGAGUGGUGAUAGCUCCUCUAAAACUAGCUUACAGAAGCAAAGGAGUCCAGGAGAUUCCUCCAUCUGUAACGACUAACGAAACAAAACUAAUAUAAUAGAUAAAUCGUCGACAGUCAUCAUCCUUGGAAAAACAAAUACUCCAUCUGUGAAUGGGCAAAAAAAUUGGUACUGAAAUUACCCAUCCGUGAAUCAAGAAGAAGGUAACUAUCCCCCCUUUUGUAUUCUCUUGGUUUCAGUUUUGUGUUGAAAUAAAUUAUUAGAAUGAUUGGGUUUUGUUUCGUUGAUGUUGCUGGUUCUAUGAAAUUGUGAUGGGUAGUUGGGGGUGAUUUACUUUUGAUCUUUAGCUCGAGGUCUCCAAUUAUAAUCAUUUGAUAAUUCUUUUAUACUUUAUGGCAUAUGUUGUAUGUAUAAACCCUUUUUUCCAUCGUUUGCAUUCUUUGGGUAUACAAACCUUUCAACAUUUAUUCUGUGUUUUCUCGGUUUUCUUCAUUUCUUCAUGCAGUACAAUUCUUCUGUAUCAUAGUAGUUUUUGAUAGAAUAUGUUGCAGAGGGAUGUGCAAGAAUAACUAUUCCAGAAUAUUAAACCAUCAAUCAAAUUAGUAUCUAAAACGGAAAAGGAUAAAGAUCUGACUUUGAACUUAAGUUUGAGGAUUUGUUAUGGUUUUAGUUUCAAGAAAUGAGAAUUAUGUAUGAAUUUUAAAUUAUCGGUUUUGAUUGGAUGUUAUGUUCUUUUGAGGAUUUUGGUCUAGAAUUUCAUAAAAUGGAAAUUGCGGUCAUUCCUAUAGAUUUUUAUAUAAAAUCAGAACUAUUAGUGGUAAGCAUUAUGAGGGUUUGAGUUUAACUUUGAAUGAAUGGAAUUUUUAUGAAGUUGUUGUGUUUUUGGCAUGAAAAAGUUGAAAUUGGGUGCUGAGGAAGGUAAUUGUUAGAAAAACAUUCACAUGAAAGGUAUAUAAAUGAUUGCAUUUCCAUCUUUGAAGUCCUUUUUUCCCCUGGCAAAGGACAUCUACUGAAGUUGUUACUUUUGGACUUUUGGUUCUGUAUAGAUUUUGUCAUAUUGCUACAUUAUUGAGUUCAUUUUUAUCGUUUACACGCUUACAUUUACUGAUUUGUUUUCUUAUAUAAAGGUACCAUCUACUAUGUGAAAGAAGUCCAAUGCCUCACAAGGAGUGUGUAGCCAAGGUUUCUGAGAAAUGGAAUCUUAAUGCAUGGUUACAAAUGCAAGAAAGAGAAGGAAUCAACAGAAGCGGCAAAUCAUUAAGGAGGGUUCGGUGUUUUUCGUCCCCAAAUGGGAGAAAUGAAAAGACUUCUCUUACAAACCAAAAUGCUCAUUUGGAAAGUCCAAAUUCUCCAAUGGAGCGCCAGAUGUGGCAGUGAUAAAGGAUCACGUUGCAUAUGUUAUAUUUUGUGAAUAUGGUAUCCAUAUCGUAGAUGGAAAAUUGAUUCAACUUCUUGGGGAAGUAUGCUAUCCUGAAACAUCUCUUGAUGAAAUUAUUGUGUUUCUAAGCUAUUCCAUAGUAUUUACAUUUUUUUGUGUGAGAUGUGACGUAGCUUACUUUUUAGUCGUAAUCAUAUUCGACGGCAUGGUCUGUGUCCAAUGGCGACACCGCAGAGUCAUGUUUAUACCUUUAAGGUUACAAGUUUGGUCUCAAUUCUUUGUUAUACAGAAAGUUUAGAUUAGGAAUCCAGUGGAAGACCUGUAUUUGUCUACCUUACUGGGCACAGUUGGAAAAGAAAACCUGGGUCUUUAAAGGACCAAUACUUCCAUCUUUUAUCAUUUCAAGAAUGUUUAAGCAAGAUAAUCUGCUGUGAAUUACAUGGUCAGUAUCAACAUUGUUGUUUGCAAAUCAUCGUUCUUUUGACACUUUUAGUUAUCACACCCUUCUUAAGUACACCCCAAAUUUUAUUCUUGCGAUCAUCACACUCAGCUUAAGUUUUUAGGUAAGAACUUUAAGACAACAAUACAUAUUCAGCUUAAGUAUUUAGGUAAAUACAUGAAGUUAUUUUGUAUGAUUAUAAAUUUGUGAGAAGCGUAAUUGAAAUAUUUAAUUCUAUUGAAUUUUUCUAUACAAAUAUAUCACUCAUGGGAACAUUGGUUAUUAACAACGUCCAGUUCAUAGGAAAACAUAGCAACUGAUUCUACCUACACAUGGAAAACGAAACAGAACAGUGACUUCCAAUUCCUACACAAGCAUUCAUCUCAGACCAGUCCAUAAGUAGUGUAUAUACUGUUAUGGUGUUGUUUAAAGAUGAUAUACUGAAUUAAGCAAUACACAGUUUCGUAUUUUUGUUUGAUUAGUAAACUAUGAGAAUUAUAUCCACAGUUCUGCCUUAUUAUAUUAAGCUUUCCUCUUUCUUGCUAAAAUUAACUUAGACCUGAAACUUAACCAGUUAAAUUGGUAAACAUUAAGCUUAUCAAAUUGUACUCGAGAUGUCACUACUAUUCACCAACUGUUUAUAGUGGUGUUUAUUGAAUACUUAAAAUUCCUUUGCAUAUUCACUUAAAAUUCCUUUGCAUAUUCACUAUUAUUCACCAACUUACCCACUUAUAGUGGUUUAAUUUUCUUCUUUUGCUGCAGCGACGCUUAUAAUUCAAGAUAUGAAGGAGCUGGGAUAUGGAUAUCAUACGCAUGAAGUUUGUCAUACCGGCAUGGCUCAAGUUAUAAUGGCCUCAUGGUAGAAGGUUACUUAGUCCUUUGAGCUUCCAUGCGAGUAUUGCUUGCAUGCCCGGAGCCGGAGAUAUUUUCUUCCGCAGUAAGCUCUAUCAUAUGCUGGCUCUGUGUAACUACCAAUAUUUUACACUAGAGAGGUAGGGAAAUUUAAUAUUCAUCCAACUCUGUAUUUAAAUUCCAGGAUCAACAGUUUCUUAUCCCUUGCAUGGUGUACAAUGAAUAAGUGAAGACGGCUAGCAUUUAGAUAGAGAUUCUACAAAUAUACCGAAAAAAAAAAAAACUUCUUUUCGAGGCUGUUUAAUAAUCAAUUUCAUUUCGAGAUCAAGAUAUGUUGGAUUUCAUUUUUAGGGUGUUGUAAAUUAUUGUAACUUGAACCAUCAUUAUCUUUGUUUCUUUAAAUUUUAACUCAGACAAGUCGGAAUUUCUGGCCAUUUGUCUAUUCAAGUAUGUUGG